UUUGAUCGAUCCCAGCCACAGUGGCCGGUCCGCGGGCCGGUUCUGUCCGUAGGUGGCCAGCAACGCGUGCGCCUC
rnacentral:antisense_RNA from 1 species